rnacentral:lncRNA from 1 species
AGAUCGACAUUACGUACCUUUGAAUAAUGUUUACCAUUUGUUGAUAAUUUUCUUGUGGUUUUCUCAAUGAGUCAAAGAUUAUCAACCGGUUCUUGGGAAUUUCAAUGACCAUGAGUAUCCAGUGAAAGCUGUUUACACACAUAUAUAUAUAGUCAGUCCUAUAAUGUAAAAUAAAAUAUGCAUGCACUUAAUAACUAUAUAACUCACUCGAAGUUGAAGGGGAAGAGUUUUUUUUCUUUUUCUUUUUGGUUCACAAAGAACCUCAUAAGAUUGGUGCAGACUUCUGUCUCAUGAUCUGCUGUCCACACUGCCUGCGGAGCCUUGAAAACAAUAUAAGGGUCAACGAACCCAAUACUUUUGUCAUUUCUCAUUCUGAGCUCUCUCAUUUGGUGUGUAAGGAUUAUAAAUAUGUAAUUAAAGAAGUUAGAAGUAUAAUAAACAGAAAAAAUACUUACAGACAAAAGCAGCUGACAAGAGAUUUGUCAAGAGCAUCGAGGUGACAUAAUUGGUGCACUUCUUCGAACUGCACGUAUAUGAGGUCAUCUCCACGGAAGUAGUGAUGUUGUCUAAUACGAACAGAAAUUCAAUUCUCUCCCCUUUUAGACGCCUCAAUGCACCAUUUGUUUAUUGCAAACAUUUGUAUGCCGAGCUCGUGUA